ensembl:lncRNA
AUGGUGGUCAAAUUUCGGGAAUUUCUCCAGUGUGUCGAAAAUAAAGAGCUGAGAGACGCACUUGGAGAAAGGACUCUUACCAAGGAUGAAGAGGCAUUUGUGAAGGCUUUGAGGCCUUGUCACAUCUUGGCUUUUGCCACCGGGAGCAGCAAGGUUCCAGCCAUAGGUUUUCAACCACCUCCUAAAAUAACAUUCAUUCACGAUGAAAGCAAACAUCUCCCGAUUGCACACACAUGUGCAAAUGAGCUUCAGCUUUUUGUGAAUGAAACAACAAUGGCUGAUGAUGAUGCUUUUCAUUACUGCUUCUUAGUAGCACUCAUGAAUGGAGCUUUAUUCAGCACCAUCUAAACAUGUUCCAGAAAAGUGAAAUUAAAAUGGUGGGUUUGUUAACUCUAAUCCUGUUCAUUAAUUGUAGUUUCAAGUAACUUUGCUUCAUACAAGAUAGUUGAAAUAAAUUCUGACUCCAUUUAAUGUUGAAAUGUAAUAAUUUUCAAAGCUUCAAUAGAUUUAUAAAAAUGCUAACUCUGUAUUUUCAACAACAAAUCAAUAAAGUCACUGGUGUAAUACAAUUAAUAAUUUUAUUAAGCUUUUUCUUUUUUUAAACAAGGACAUUUCAAAACAGUUUAUGCACAGAGUAUACUAAACAUGCUUUGUAGAACAAGCCAGGAUUACUUAGACAUCUAACAGCAACAUUUAUUAAGACUAUUGCAACUUUACAAUGAUUAGCACAAUACUGUAGAUAAUCUUGUGAAUUGAUUUAAAGACUGACUGUUCCAUGUUGAUAAUUUUCACUAUUAUACUGUAUUACACUGUUACAGUGUGAAUUUGAUGGCUUUACUGCAAUCUGAAUAACUGUUUUUACCCAUAAACCAAAUGUAGUUGUAGCCUUCUGAAUAGCCUAUGAGUCACUAUCAGUCAUUAACUUUGAGUCCUUAUGUGGCAGGAGGUAUCACUGCUAGAGGGGAGGGGGCUUCUGCAGUAGUACAAAAAACACAUUUGCUGUACAGCAUUUAGGAAUACUAAGUGUCAUCACUCUUUGGAACAUCACUGGUAUCCUGUGGUUGAGGUCACACAUUUACAAGUUUGUUAAAAAUAUACUGCUGUGUUCGUUGAAACAAUGUUUUACCAUUAUUGUUGUCUUCUUCAAAAGGGUGAAUGCUUGUAUAUAGCUCUUGCAAAUGGCUGUCAUUUAAUGGGACAAACCUACUUUGAGAGUUUGACAAGGAGGGUAUGGAGACCUCUGCUGUAGAAAGUUCUGGGUUGUGACGAUGAAACACAUGAGUUCCGCAGGCAAAAAGUUGGAUGGGAGUUCUAUUACCUUCAGUGGAAAUAGAGUGAUUGUUAUAUCCAGCUUUAAAUUCCUUCAAAGAGCGGUUGAUUCGUGGUAGAAACACAUAAUGAAGGCAAAAUAGGUCUGUUGCAUUUUCUAAGUCUAGGAUACCAAGUGAUUCCAAUUCAUAAAAUGUAGGUGCAUAAAUGCGGCUACACUGAAAAAAAAUUGGAGUGACAUUUACUUAAAAAAAGCUAGGCAACUUUUUCCACACAGAAAGUGCUUGUAAUCUUUACUCGGGCUAUUUCUAAGUAAAAUUUACUUACUAGAACCAUCUAUUUUUUAUGUGAAAUACACAAGUAAAUUGCACUGGCAAUACUCAUCUAUAGAUUGUAACUUUUACUCAGAAUACCAUUGCAUCCAUUUACAAAACCCAAGUGAACAUUGCUGAUAUUUCUUUGUGUUUCUUACUCAUCUUUUCUUUGUUAUAUUCUAUGUAAUUAUUAAGUAAUAUUUAUUAUGAAUGUACUAGUUAAUAUUAAUCGAAUUGAAUAAAUAUUUUUAUUAUUCUAUUAAAUAAUAAAUCAAUAUUUUCCAAAACAAAUAUUUGCAGCUUAAGGGACACUUUUAUUUCACAAUUGAAAUGGCAUAGAUAUAUUUAAAAUAUCUACAUAACAUUAUAACCACAAAAAGACAUGGCCAUAGAACAUCUUGCUCGCAAAUUUCAAAACAGAGCAUAUACACAUAUACAAAAAAAAAAACAUGCUAUUCAAAAACUCAGUGUGCACUGUCCCCUUUCUUCUAAUCAACUUUCAGAACACAUACAUCAACUCUGUCCAUUAACAGUUGCAAUCACUACCUUUGCAGACAUUCUCAGAAUGUUCAGGACAGAAAGAACUUGUAUAAAACUGAGCAACACUUGAAAUUACUGUCAGAAAACAGACAAAAUGCAAACAAAUUAAUUGUGCUGGACAAAAGCACAAAUAACACUGGAACACUCACGCUAAAAGUUUCUUGUGGAGAGACUGGACCUUUGGUGACAUUUUAAGGGUGUCAAGCUCAAGAAACAGCUUCUGAAAUACCUCAAACGUAUAUUUCAGUUUCAGUGGGUAACUUAAGUUGACAGCAUAGAUGACACCCAUGAGCAGGAGGCAAGCGUUUGUCACACUUCCGCAGUCCUCCAGAAUUUCUGUCCCCUCAAUGAUGACCGACACCUUCACAGGAUCUUGGUUUUCCUGUGCCACAUUGGGAUGGAUUACGAUGAUCUUCAUCAUGUGAUUACUGCAGUCCUCUUUCAAUGCUUCUUGGCUGACGUCCUGUGAAAACAAACAAACCACAAUUAGAAAUAACUAGAAUAGAUUCCAAGUAAAAGAAAAGGUUAAGAGAAAAAAAUGCAAAAAUAAAAAAGAGGUAUACUCAAUUUAGUAUACUCAAAUCAAACAAUAUUCAUAUGGCACUUUUCAUACGUAAAGUUACAGAAUGUGCUUCACAGAGGCUGACCCUGAGACAAAGAAAAUCACUUUUGGGGGCCAUCCAGCCUGGAGCUGUCCAUGGGAUGGCACGCGUGUUGGUAGACCAGAACCAUUAAAUCAUUAAAAUAGGUUAUAAAGGUAUAAUCAAAUUAAAUACUCUUUUGCUCAUAAAAUAAAGUUAAUAAGUGAUAGUUAAAUAGUCAGAAAAAAAUCAGACAAAAGGCAAGUUAAAGUUUAAGGCAGAUAAGAUGAAGAUUAAAUAUGAUUUAAAAAAUAAAGGGUAAGAGCAUAAAGAUUUAAGAAAUUAGUUAAAAGCCUGAUUAAAAAUAUUAAUCUUGAGUCUUUUUUAAAAAACAUCAGGAGUGUAGAGAAUCUUUGACCUUCAAUAUAUCAUCACAAGUGAAGACCAGAUUAUAAGGUUAGACAAUAAUUUUAAUACAGUCAUUAUGAUCAUCAGAUACCUGAUGGUCUUUGAUCAGCUCCUCUCCACUCUCUCCAAGAUACUCAACUAAGCAACGAAUGAUAAUGUCCCUUCUGCCAUCGACAUGAUGCUAUUAAACACAAAAAGAAAAUUUAUUGCAGAAAAUACACAACAUAACAUAUGUAACAUACAUACAUAACAGCACAUACAGAUGUAAACAGAAAGUUACCCAUGGAGAAUGUAAGCCUGCAGCUACAUUCUAAUGUUGUGAAGUGUGCAACUUAACAUGAAUUUCUCAACAAUGUGUGUUAAGACAAGAGUCCAGUGCAUGUCAUAAUCUGUGGGUCCAGAAACUGUCUCUGCCCAGUGAGGAAAGUUUUCUGCCUCAUCACUGGACAUGCAAAUGAAUUUUUCGCAACAUAUCAGUACCUCCUAUCACAAUAUUAACCAAUCAAGGACAGGAAUUCCCACACACAAGAGUAAUAUUUUGGGAAAUAAUUGUAUUGGAGUCUAUGGGCAGCAGGAAGGGAUCUCGCUGCACUCAGAGGGUCACUUUGAAAAUUCUGUAAAUUUCUCUGCUUUUGAGCGCAUAUUAAGGGAGAGAUGACAGGUUUGUAUACACUUGUAGAGACAAUCAUGUGCAUAAAUUGUUAAUUGUGGCCACAGUGUCAGGAUCAGGAGAACAGUUUCAGCCAACACAGACACUGAUCAGAUUAAAGGACAAGUUCAGUAUUUUACACUUAAAGCCCUGUUUUCAGUUUAUGAUGAAAUCGAACGAU